AAUCAACGCUGGCGGCGUGCCUCAGACAUGCAAGUCGAACGAUUAAAGCUCUCUUCGGAGAGUGUAUAGAGUGGCGCACGGGUGAGUAACACGUAAGUAAUCUACCUUUGAGUGGGGAAUAACAUCAGGAAACCGAUGCUAAUACCGCAUAAUGCAGCGGCAUCGCAAGAUGACAGUUGUUAAAGAUUUAUCGCUUGAAGAGGAGCUUGCGGCAGAUUAGCUAGUUGGUAAGGUAAUGGCUUACCAAGGCUACGAUCGGUAGCUGGUCUGAGAGGAUGACCAGCCACACUGGGACUGAGACACGGCCCA
rnacentral:rRNA from 1 species